UACUCUCAUUCUUCUCUUUCUCUCUCAUUCUCUUCUCCGAUCGAGCAUACCUAAUUCCCCCAUUUUCGCUGAUGAGCUACUAAGCUCAUGAAAAAUCAUGAUAGGUGAGGGGAAAAAUGUCAGCUGAAUACAGAAAUUUAUGAUGACAUUACCAACAAGUUUUCAUGGAAUAUAUGCGUACAAGUUUCCGACUUUUUUAAGUGACCAGGAAGUGAAGAUACAAAAGUAUAAAAGAAGACAAAAUCAGAUUAUAAGUCUUGAGGAAAAGUUUUUAAAAAGACCAGCUACUCAAGAUGAGGUAUUUGAGUAUACACAUAUGAAGAAGCUAAAGGAUGGAACAAAGACAAUUGGGAUCGAGCCGCGAGCCGAGACAACCUAGAAUACUUGCAAACAAUCCUUGUAUGAGUUCAUUCAAAGCCAACCAACUGAUGAUCAAGGAAAGCCAAUCCAACCAUCGCAUGAGAAUUAUAUGGACUUGUGGAUUAAGGCGGCUGGUGGCGUACACAAGGGAAGAGUUUACGGCCUUGGAUCAGAGUUUAGUUCUAGCCGUCGGUCUUCUGGUGGCUCAUCUUCCUCAAGGUCCUCGAUUAAUCAGAAUAAGUUUGAGCUAUUGAAUAGAAGAAUAUCAUAGAUCACUUAGUUGUAUGCACAGGAAAGAGCUGCGCGGGAGGAGGAGGCAAAGCAAAGGGAGGAAGAAGAUAGGGGAGGGAGGAAGAGGAGAGGCGGAGGGAGGAUGAAAUGAGGCAAAAGGAUGGUGCAUUUGCACGUGUCACUAGUGACAUUGAAAGCCUCAAGGCCCAGCUAAACUCCCUCUUAGCAUCUGGUGCAUUCCUUUACCACGUUCUACAUCACGCUCUAACAAUACUAAGGAGUAGUUUUUUUUUAUUAAUCUAAUUUUGGGUGGGACUAGGAUGUUGGAUAUUAUGUAUCAAUUGGAUAAGAUUAAAUGCUGAAUUUCUUAUUUGAAUGUUUAGUUGCA